rnacentral:rRNA from 1 species
UACGGAGGGUGCAAGCGUUAAUCGGAAUUACUGGGCGUAAAGGGUGCGUAGGUGGUUUAAUAAGUUAACUGUGAAAGCCCUGGGCUCAACCUGGGAAGGCCAGUUAAGACUGUUGAACUAGAGUAUGGGAGAGGGUAGUGGAAUUUCCGGUGUAGCGGUGAAAUGCGUAGAUAUCUGGAGGAAUACCGGUGGCGAAGGCAGGUCUCUGGGCCACUACUGACGCUGAGGCGCGAAAGCUAGGGGAGCAAACGGG